GGUUCGAUGGCGUAGCUGGUUAUCGCAUCUGUCUAACACACAGAAGGUCCCCGGUUCGAGCCCGGGUCAAAUCA
rnacentral:tRNA from 1 species